UAACGAAUCUUCCGCAAUGCACGCAAGUGUGACGGAGCGACGCCGCGUGUGGGACGAAGCCCUUCGGGGUGUAAACCACUGUCAGGGGUAGGAAAGUUCUGAUCCACCCCAGAGGAAGGCACGGCUAACUCUGUGCCAGCAGCCGCGGUAAGACAGAGGUGCCGAGCGUUAGGCGGAAUCACUGGGCUUAAAGCGUGUGUAGGCGGCCCGUUAAGUACCUUGUGAAAUCCCGCGGCUCAACCGCGGAACGGCUGGGUAUACUGGCGGGCUUGAGCGGCCUAGGGGCAGAUGGAACAAGUGGUGGAGCGGUGAAAUGCGUAGAUAUCACUUGGAACGCCAAAGGUGAAGACAGUCUGCUGGGGGCCUGCUGACGCUGAGACACGAAAGCCAGGGGAGCGAACGGGAUUAGAUACCCCUGUAGUCC
rnacentral:rRNA from 1 species